rnacentral:rRNA from 1 species
GACGAACCGUGCGAACGUUGUUCGGAAUCACUGGGCGUAAAGCGCACGUAGGCGGAUUGCUAAGUCAGGGGUGAAAUCCUGGAGCUCAACUCCAGAACUGCCUUUGAUACUGGCGACCUUGAGUCCGGGAGAGGUGAGUGGAACUGCGAGUGUAGAGGUGAAAUUCGUAGAUAUUCGCAAGAACACCAGUGGCGAAGGCGGCUCACUGGCCCGGUACUGACGCUGAGGUGCGAAAGCGUGGGGAGCAAACAGG